GCUGACUUGGCUGAGUGGUAAAGCAGCGGUUUGCUAAACCGUACUAGAUGUAAAUCUAGCAUAGGUUCGAGUCCUAUAGUCAGCG
rnacentral:tRNA from 1 species